GGGAGUGUGGCUCAGUGGUAGAGCACUUGUGUAGCAUGCACGAGGCCCUGGGUUCAACCCCCAGUAUUGCAA
rnacentral:tRNA from 1 species